UACGUAGGGGGGCUAGCGUUGUCCGGAAUCAUUGGGCGUAAAGCGCGCGUAGGCGGCCCUGUUAGUCCGCUGUAAAAGUCAAAGGCUCAACCUUUGAAUGCCGGUGGAUACUGCAGGGCUAGAGUCCGGAAGAGGCGAGUGGAAUUCCUGGUGUAGCGGUGAAAUGCGCAGAUAAUCAGGAGGAACACCAAUGGCGAAGGCAGCACUCUGGGACGUGACUGACGCUGAGACGCGAAAGCGUGGGGAGCAAACAG
rnacentral:rRNA from 1 species